AACCACAUGGGAUAAUCAUUUUCCCGUACGGUCGGGUUAAGUUGACUGCACGGGAUAAUCGAUUACCCCGUGCGGUC
rnacentral:pre_miRNA from 14 species